GUGUUAUCAAAUACCUAUCCCCCAGUGUUUUCACUCGAAACCCAUCUCCAAUGUCAUUCUCUUCAUCGAUAUCUUGACAUUGCUUGGGUCCAGCAGACCCAAUUGCCAUGGAAUCCAAUAAAGGAAACAAAUCCCAAGAAGGAAAAAACCGACCUGGAUAGUUAAGGCACCUCUGCUUCUCCGUACGAUAUCGUUUCCGGAGCUUCUCGAUCUUAUGCCGGCACUGUAGGGAAGACUUAGGCGUGUCGGCAGUAGCGGAAUCAGCGACGGCGGCCGCCACAGAG
rnacentral:misc_RNA from 1 species